rnacentral:lncRNA from 1 species
GCUUUUCCACGCAAUCAGCAUUAGGGUUUUAAACCCUAAACUGAAUGUUUCCAUACAAUCAGCAUUAGGGUUUUAAACCCUAAACUGAACUUUCCCAUUCAGCCAGCAUUAGGGUUUUAAACCCUAAACUGAGCUUUUCCAUUCAGUCAGCAUUAGGGUUUUAAACCCUAAACUGAACUUUUUCCAUUCAGCCAGCAUAAGGGUUUUAAACCCUAAACUGAGCUUUUCCAUUUAGUCAGCAUUAGGGUUUUAAACCCUAAACUGAACUUUUUCCAUUAAGUCAGCAUUAGGGUUCUAAACCCUAAACUGAGCUUUUCCAUGCAGUCAGCAUUAGGGUUUUAAACCCUAAACUAAAUUUUUCCUUUAGUCAGCAUUAGGGUUUUAAACCCUAAACUGAGUUUUUCCAUGCAGUCAGCAUUAGGGUUUUAACCCCUAAACUGACCCUUUUUCCUUUAAUCAGCAUUAGGGUUUUUAAACCCUAACUGAACUUUUUCCAUCCAGCCAGCAUUAGAGUUUUAAACCCUAAACUGAGCUUUUCCAUGCAGUAAGCAUUAGGGUUUUCAACCCUAAACUGACCAUUUUUCCUUUAAUCAGCAUUAGGGUUUUAAACCCUAAAUGAACUUUUUUUCCAUUCAGCAAGCAUUAGGGUUUAAAA